AUAGGUUGAAGUAUCGGAGCAAAUUUUACGUGUUUAGUUUUGGCUAUGUUGAUUUCCAUCUGCCAUAUGUCACACCAUUCGGUAAGUUUUGUUAAAUCAGACUGCAGCACAGUGAUGU
rnacentral:lncRNA from 1 species